GUCAACAACCGAACGACUCAAGUCGUGGGUUUGAAUGCCCCAUGUUGACCAGACCAAGACUUGAAACAUAGUUUACGUUAGCGAUGUCAUGAUACGUCGGGGUGCUUCUCCAGCCCCGUCGUCGUGUA
rnacentral:sRNA from 15 species